rnacentral:rRNA from 1 species
UACGUAGGGUGCGAGCGUUGUCCGGAAUUAUUGGGCGUAAAGGGCUCGUAGGCGGUUUGUCGCGUCGGGAGUGAAAACACUGGGCUUAACCCAGUGCUUGCUUUCGAUACGGGCAGACUAGAGGUAUGCAGGGGGAGAACGGAAUUCCUGGUGUAGCGGUGAAAUGCGCAGAUAUCAGGAGGAACACCGGUGGCGAAGGCGGUUCUCUGGGCAUGAUCUGACGCUGAGGAGCGAAAGUGUGGGGAGCGAACAGG